rnacentral:tRNA from 1 species
AUUUAUGGAACAUGUUUAUGUGGUAAUUUUAAGUGUUACAAAAAGAAUUUUUCUCAUUAAUA